rnacentral:rRNA from 1 species
AUGAUCUCCCACGCCAUGUUUUUCAGAUCCGCCACCAUCGGAUCCAUCUUACCAACUACAGCUUUUUGUGGUCGCCGGAGCACCACUCUUCCCUUUCUCGCUUUCUCUGUAAUGGCAAGCCAUCUUCGUUUGAGGUCGUCCACAUCCAGUAGUGAGAUGUGGUUCCCCGGAUUCCUCGCCUCAACAGCGCACUCUCCCUCUGGGUUGCCGCUCCCCCUCUCCAAGGCACUCCCGGCGUCAAGCUCCGCCGAGGCCAUCUCCGCCGCUGGGGGCAUCUCCGCCGCCGUAGGCGCCUCUCCCCUAAUUUCGUCUCUCCCCUAA